UACGAAGGGGGGCUAGCGUUGCUCGGAAUCACUGGGCGUAAAGCGCACGUAGGCGGAUUCUUAAGUCAGGGGUGAAAUCCUGGAGCUCAACUCCAGAACUGCCUUUGAUACUGGGGAUCUCGAGUCCGGGAGAGGUGAGUGGAACUCCGAGUGUAGAGGUGAAAUUCGUAGAUAUUCGGAAGAACACCAGUGGCGAAGGCGGCUCACUGGCCCGGUACUGACGCUGAGGUGCGAAAGCGUGGGGAGCAAACAGG
rnacentral:rRNA from 1 species